UACGGGGGGUGCGAGCGUUGUCCGGAAUCACUGGGCGUAAAGGGCGCGUAGGUGGCCUGAUAAGGGUGUGGUGAAAGUCCGGGGCUCAACCCCGGAUCGGCCGUGCCGACUGUUGGGCUGGAGUACUGUAGGGGCAGGCGGAAUUCCGGGUGUAGCGGUGGAAUGCGUAGAGAUCCGGAGGAAGACCGGUGGCGAAGGCGGCCUGCUGGGCAGUUACUGACACUGAGGCGCGACAGCGUGGGGAGCGAACAGG
rnacentral:rRNA from 1 species